rnacentral:rRNA from 1 species
CAGGCUUAACACAUGCAAGUCGAGGGGCAGCAUGGUCUUAGCUUGCUAAGGCCGAUGGCGACCGGCGCACGGGUGAGUAACACGUAUCCAACCUGCCGUCUACUCUUGGACAGCCUUCUGAAAGGAAGAUUAAUACAAGAUGGCAUCAUGAGUCCGCAUGUUCACAUGAUUAAAGGUAUUCCGGUAGACGAUGGGGAUGCGUUCCAUUAGAUAGUAGGCGGGGUAACGGCCCACCUAGUCUUCGAUGGAUAGGGGUUCUGAGAGGAAGGUCCCCCACAUUGGAACUGAGACACGGUCCAAACUCCUACGGGAGGCAGCAGUGAGGAAUAUUGGUCAAUGGGCGAGAGCCUGAACCAGCCAAGUAGCGUGAAGGAUGACUGCCCUAUGGGUUGUAAACUUCUUUUAUAAAGGAAUAAAGUCGGGUAUGGAUACCCGUUUGCAUGUACUUUAUGAAUAAGGAUCGGCUAACUCCGUGCCAGCAGCCGCGGUAAUACGGAGGAUCCGAGCGUUAUCCGGAUUUAUUGGGUUUAAAGGGAGCGUAGAUGGAUGUUUAAGUCAGUUGUGAAAGUUUGCGGCUCAACCGUAAAAUUGCAGUUGAUACUGGAUAUCUUGAGUGCAGUUGAGGCAGGCGGAAUUCGUGGUGUAGCGGUGAAAUGCUUAGAUAUCACGAAGAACUCCGAUUGCGGAGGCAGCCUGCUAAGCUGCAACUGACAUUGAGGCUCGAAAGUGUGGGUAUCAAACAGGAUUAGAUACCCUGGUAGUCCACACGGUAAACGAUGAAUACUCGCUGUUUGCGAUAUACUGCAAGCGGCCAAGCGAAAGCGUUAAGUAUUCCACCUGGGGAGUACGCCGGCAACGGUGAAACUCAAAGGAAUUGACGGGGGCCCGCACAAGCGGAGGAACAUGUGGUUUAAUUCGAUGAUACGCGAGGAACCUUACCCGGGCUUAAAUUGCAGAUGAAUUACGGUGAAAGCCGUAAGCCGCAAGGCAUCUGUGAAGGUGCUGCAUGGUUGUCGUCAGCUCGUGCCGUGAGGUGUCGGCUUAAGUGCCAUAACGAGCGCAACCCUUGUUGUCAGUUACUAACAGGUUCCGCUGAGGACUCUGACAAGACUGCCAUCGUAAGAUGUGAGGAAGGUGGGGAUGACGUCAAAUCAGCACGGCCCUUACGUCCGGGGCUACACACGUGUUACAAUGGGGGGUACAGAGGGCCGCUACCACGCGAGUGGAUGCCAAUCCCCAAAACCUCUCUCAGUUCGGACUGGAGUCUGCAACCCGACUCCACGAAGCUGGAUUCGCUAGUAAUCGCGCAUCAGCCACGGCGCGGUGAAUACGUUCCCGGGCCUUGUACACACCGCCCGUCAAGCCAUGGGAGCCGGGGGUACCUGAAGUGCGUAACCGCGAGGAGCGCCCUAGGGUAAAACUGGUGACUG